GGCAGUGUGGUAUAGUGGUAAUGAGUUUGGCUCGUAAUCAAAAGGUUGGCAGUUCGAUUACCUGCUAGGACACUACUG